rnacentral:rRNA from 1 species
AGUGAACGCUGGCGGUAGGCCUAACACAUGCAAGUCGAACGGCAGCACAGGAGAGCUUGCUCUCUGGGUGGCGAGUGGCGGACGGGUGAGGAAUACAUCGGAAUCUACUCUGUCGUGGGGGAUAACGUAGGGAAACUUACGCUAAUACCGCAUACGACCUACGGGUGAAAGCAGGGGACCUUCGGGCCUUGCGCGAUUGAAUAAGCCGAUGUCGGAUUAGCUAGUUGGCGGGGUAAAGGCCCACCGAGGCGACGAUCCGUAGCUGGUCUGAGCGGAUGAUGAGCCACACUGGAACUGAGACACGGUCCAGACUCCUACGGGAGGCAGCAGUGGGGAAUAUUGGACAAUGGGCGCAAGCCCGAUCCAGCCAUACCGCGUGGGUGAAGAAGGCCUUCGGGUUGUAAAGCCCUUUUGUUGGGAAAGAAAUCCAGCUGGCUAAUACCCGGUUGGGAUGACGGUACCCAAAGAAUAAGCACCGGCUAACUUCGUGCCAGCAGCCGCGGUAA